GCUUCUAAAGGAUAAUAGUCCAUCCAUGUCUAGACCAAAGUCCGGCUCCAGUAGCAGCU
rnacentral:tRNA from 1 species